UUACAGUAAUAUAUAGAAACACUUAUAACACACAUUAUAUUGAUUCAAGCAGCAUAGAGUCUUAUUCUAUUGAUUCAGCAGUAUAGAGUGUAAUUAUAUUGAUUCAGCAGUAUAGAGUCUUAUUCUGUUGAUUCAGCAGUAUAGAGUCUUAUUCUGUUGAUUCAAGCAGUAUAGAGUCUUAUUCUAUUGAUUCAGCAGUAUAGAGUCUAAUUAUAUUGAUUCAGCAGUAUAGAGUCUAAUUAUAUUGAUUCAGCAGUAUAGAGUCUUAUUCUGUUGAUUCAGCAGUAUAGAGUCUUAUCCUGUUGAUUCAGCAGUAUAGAGUCUUAUUCUAUUGAUUCAGCAGUAUAGAGUCUUAUCCUGUUGAUUCAAGCAGUAUAGAGUCUUAUUCUGUUGAUUCAAGCAGUAUAGAGUCUUAUCCUGUUGAUUCAAGCAGUACAGAGUCUAAUUAUAUUGAUUCAGCAGUAUAGAGUCUUAUUCUGUUCAGUCAAUCAGCGUGUUCUAUCUCAGAACAAGGGGCACUUAUUUGUUUUAAGGCCUCAGUGAAACCAGUCCUGGUCCUGUGGGUUCCGUGAGAGGUCCCAGACAGGUAUCAGAGCAGGUAGAAAUACAACACCCAGAGCAGUACUCUACAUCUCUCCAGGAGCAGGUAGAAAUACAACACCCAGAGCAGUACUCUACAUCUCUCUAGGAGCAGGUAGAAAUACAACACCCAGAGCAGUACUCUACAUCUCUCCAGGAGCAGGUAGAAAUACAACACCCAGAGCAGUACUCUACAUCUCUCUAGGAGCAGGUAGAAAUACAACACCCAGAGCAGUACUCUACAUCUCUCUAGGAGCAGGUAGAAAUACAACACCCAGAGCAGUACUUUACAUCUCUCUAGGAGCAGGUAGAAAUACAACACACAGAGCAGUACUCUACAUCUCUCUCUAGGAGCAGGUAGAAAUACAACACACAGAGCAGUACUCUACAUCUCUCUCUAGGAGCAGGUAGAAAUACAACACACAGAGCAGUACUCUACAUCUCUCUCUAGGAGCAGGUAGAAAUACAACACACAGAGCAGUACUCUACAUCUCUCUCUAGGAGCAGGUAGAAAUACAACACACAGAGCAGUACUCUACAUCUCUCUCUAGGAGCAGGUAGAAAUACAACACACAGAGCAGUACUCUACAUCUCUCUCUAGGAGCAGGUAGAAAUACAACACACAGAGCAGUACUCUAGACAAUCUAUUUCACCUGCUAGCAGAACCGGGCGAUUCACAUCUGAGGCCCCAAUAUGUCGCAGCGGAAAGAACCAUUUUGCUGUUUUAAAAAGACGCUUUCCUGCAAUUCUACACAUUUUGCUCAUCUGCUGUAUUUCCAUCUUGGCCCUCUGUAAUAUUGUCCAAUCUGUAAUAUAUUACAUUACAAUGUAUUGUUCAAUCUUUAUUAUAUUACAUUACAAUGUAUUGUCUAAUCUGUAAUAUAUUACAUUAUACUGUAUUGUCCAAUCUGUAAUAUAUUACAUUAUACUGUAUUGUCCAAUCUGUAAUAUAUUACAUUAUACUGUAUUGUCUAAUCUGUAAUAUAUUACAUUAUACUGUAUUGUCCAAUCUGUAAUAUAUUACAUUAUACUGUAUUGUCUAAUCUGUAAUAUAUUACAUUAUACUGUAUUGUCUAAUCUGUAAUAUAUUACAUUAUACUGUAUUGUCCACUCUGUAAUAUAUUACAUUAUACUGUAUUGUCCACUCUGUAAUAUAUUACAUUAUACUGUAUUGUCCAAUCUGUAAUAUAUUACAUUAUACUGUAUUGUCCAAUCUGUAUUAUAUUAAUACAUUGUGAAUAUAGAUAUUAUAUUACAUUAUACUGUAUUGUCCAAUCUGUAAUAUAUUACAUUAUACUGCAUUGACCAAUCUGUACUAUAUUACAUUAUACUAUAUUGUCCAAUCUGUAAUAUAUUACAUUAUACUGUAUUGACCACUCUGUAAUAUAUUACAUUAUACUGUAUUGACCAAUCUGUAAUAUAUUACAUUAUACUGUAUUGUCCACUCUGUAAUAUAUUACAUUAUACUGUAUUGUCCACUCUGUAAUAUAUUACAUUAUACUGUAUUGUCCAAUCUGUAAUAUAUCACAUUGUGAAUAUAGAUAUUAUAUUACAUUAUACUGUAUUGUCCAAUCUGUAAUAUAUUACAUUAUACUGUAUUGACCAAUCUGUAAUAUAUUACAUUACAAUGUAUUGUCCAAUCUGUAAUAUAUUACAUUAUACUGUAUUGUCCACUCUGUAUUAUAUUACAUUACAAUGUAUUGUCUAAUCUGUAAUAUAUUACAUUAUACUGUAUUGACCAAUCUGUAAUAUAUUACAUUAUACUGUAUUGUCCACUCUGUAAUAUAUUACAUUAUACUGUAUUGUCCACUCUGUAAUAUAUUACAUUAUACUGUAUUGUCCAAUCUGUAAUAUAUCACAUUGUGAAUAUAGAUAUUAUACUGUAUUGUCCAAUCUGUAAUAUAUUACAUUAUACUGUAUUGUCCAAUCUGUAAUAUAUUACAUUAUACUGUAUUGGCCAAUCUGUAAUAUAUUACAUUAUACUGUAUUGACCAAUCUGUAAUA